rnacentral:rRNA from 1 species
AACGAACGCUGGCGGCAUGCCUAACACAUGCAAGUCGAACGAUCCCUUCGGGGAUAGUGGCGCACGCGUGCGUCACGCGUGGGAACCUGCCCUUAGGCUCGGAAUUACACAGAGUAGUUUGAGCUAAUACAGGAUAAUGUCUUCGAACAAAAGAUUUAUCGUCUUUGGAUGGGCCCGCGUUGGUUUAGCUAGUUGGUGGGGUAAAGGCCUACCAAGGCGACGAUCCAUAGCUGGUCAGAGAGGAAGGUCAGCCACACUGAGACUGGGACACGGCCCAGACUCCUACGGGAGGGAGCAGUGGGGAAUAUAGGACAAUGGGCGGAAGGCUGAUCGAGCUAGGCCGCUUGAGUGAUGAAGUCCGUAGGGAUGUAAAGCUCUUUUACCCGGGAUGAUAAUGACAGUACCGAAAGAAUAAGCCCCGGCUAACUCCGUG